AAAAAGGCUCUAUAUGGUGUAAUAUAGUUUAAUCCCCCAGGGCAGAAAUGCAGCAAGGGUAAGCUAGCUCUUACAGGUAUAUGGAGCCUUUUUUGA
rnacentral:SRP_RNA from 1 species